UAUAAGCUACGGUGUUCGUAUUUAACUAAGUUUUAACCUCUAAUGAAAGAAUAGGGAGUUUUACAUCGGAACUCUAAUGUCGAGCCGCCAAAGAGUGGAAGACAGGAAGGUUUCUGCAAACACCCACUUGGUGAAGUGGUGGUUUAAAACUUUUUAUUGAGAGUACGGCAUUUGUGGCUAUGA
rnacentral:other from 2 species